CAAGACACAUUUGAGCAGAGUUGCUGGAGAAGAGAGCCAUCCCAGGAAAAGGACAUUCCUAUAGAGGAACAGCCACUGCAUAGGCCAUGGAGGAAUGUGAGAGUGCAAGGGAGAGUUAGAAGAGGCUACAUUCAGGAUGAAGAAUGGCUUUCCUUUACAAAAAGGGAACAGAAGUUCUGCAAAGGCAUGGGGAGAGAGGAAAGCUGGCAGAGCCCAGAUGCAUCUUUAGUUGGAUCACUUUUCAAAGAGCACUUACAGAUGUUGAGCAGGUAGAAGGAGUUUCCUUCAAGCCAUCCACACCCUCAAAAGUCUUUGUGAAAUUCAAAGGAGUUCACACUCAGCUUGCAGACUGCUGGGUUCAAUCAGCCCUCGAGGUCCUGUGUGUCAUAGCAGCUUCCCAGAGGAGGACUGAAGGACCAUGGUCCAGUCCAACUUCUAUCGACAACUUAGGGUGGUCCAUGAAAGCCUGGGAUCUUAAGACAGGAUCUCACCUUUGUCACUUCCUGGAGAUGUGAGUAUGUACAAGACACUUUACCUCUCCACAUCUCACUCUCCUUAUCUGUAAAAUGGGAUAAUCAAAACCCUAACUUGUCUCACCUUUAUGGGAAUAAGUAAGGUAGUGCACUGAGCACAUGAGGCCUGGAUUCUAGGAAGUGAUUUCUUUGCUCUUCUAAAUUUAUUAUUCAACCUCACCAUUAGACAAAUCAGGGAAACUGAGGCUCAGAGAACUGAGCAUCUUUCAAGUGCUGGAGAGUGUGCUUGGAGAUGUGUGUGCCUUAUCCAAUUUGAUUCUCACAGCACUUUUGGCAAUAGAUGUUCCUGCCCUCAUGUUGAAGAUGGAUAAACUGAGACACAUAACUUUUUCAUUGUGGUUAUCUUCCCCAAGAUGGAUUUAAGUGGCUGUGAUAGGACAAAGGGAGCUUUGCUCCUUUAUUAAUCUGUUUGGGCUGCUGUAACAGAACAUAGACUGAGGAAUGUUUGAAGAACAGAAGUUUAUUCCUCACAGUUCUGGAGGCUGGGAAGUCAAAGAUCAAAGUGAUAGCAGGUCUGUUUUCUGGUGAGGGCUGCUCUCUGCUUCCAAGAUGGUGCCCUGAAUGCUGCAUCCUCCAGAGGGAAAGAAUGCUGUGUUUUCAUAUGGCAGAAGGCAGAAGGGCAAAAGGGUCAAACUCCCUGCAUCAAGCCCUUUAAUAAGGGCACCUAAUCCCAUUCCUGAGGACAGAGUCCUCGUGACUGAAUCAUCCCCCAAACUCCACACUUUCCAAUGCUGUCACAUUGGGAAUUAAUUUUCAACAUGAAUGUUAGAGAGAACAAAAGCAUUGAAGCCAUAUCUAUUCUCCUUCACCACCCACCCUCUUUGCUUUUGACUUUGGAGUUUACAGAACUGCACGCACAGGCAUCAUUUGUGAGCAUGGUCAUCAUAACCACCUUGGCAGAAGCUGUGUUUUGUAGAGGAAAAUAUCGUGACUCAGAGAAGAAAAGAAAUACACCCUGGUUUAUAUUGAGG
rnacentral:lncRNA from 1 species